rnacentral:lncRNA from 1 species
AUUCUUAGACUAGAAUCUGCUAUAGAGCCCUAUUAUGGGGGAUAAAUUUCUAACCAUUGUCUCAUUUACUCUAAACCAUGGAAAAAAAUAACCUACCAAGUGUGCUCAUUCAGAAGAACAAUGGCCUCCUGGCAAUGCUCUUUAUCCUAUUCUGAAUAAGUUCUCUUUAACUUGUAAAGUAAGUUAAGAGCAAUGGACCAAUAUUCUGUUUCUGAUGUUAUGAAGCAACAAAUGUCCCAUUAAAAUGUCUCACCCACAUUGGCCCUUUAUCUUUAAUCUAUCAAGGCAUAAGUUUGUUCAUAGAUAAGGUUGACUGCAAAAUCCUCUACAUAUAAGGCUGGUCUUGAACUCCUGACAUCAU